rnacentral:rRNA from 1 species
UACGGGGGGGGCAAGCGUUGUUCGGAAUUACUGGGCGUAAAGGGCUCGUAGGCGGCCAACUAAGUCAGACGUGAAAUCCCUCGGCUUAACCGGGGAACUGCGUCUGAUACUGGAUGGCUUGAGUUCGGGAGAGGGAUGCGGAAUUCCAGGUGUAGCGGUGAAAUGCGUAGAUAUCAGGAGGAACACCAAUGGCGAAGGCAGCUCGCUGGAACGGUACUGACGCUGAGGCGCGAAAGCGUGGGGAGCGAACAGG